GGAGGGAUGAGGACCGCUGGGGGACGGUCAGAGGUUCCCGUAUGCUGUGUUUAAGGGAGUAGUCCUGAAGAAAAUGCUGGAAGGGUGAAAUUAAACCUAAGAACUCAGAGGAUACUCGGAAUGGAAUUCUUCUUUGAACGUCUUUGGGCUUCUUUGAACGUCUCCUUCCAGAGCGGAUGCUGCAGCCCAGCCCUGGAAUCAUCCCAGCCUGGUGCCAGACGGUGAAUGAAGAAGCCUCUAGAAGACUCCAGUCACCUGAGUUUUCCCAAAUGGAGCAAAGACAAGGCAUCCCACCACGCCCUUCCUAAAUUUCUG
ensembl:lncRNA